AUGAGUGAAGGCGACGAACACAGAAAGGGAAAAAGGGGCACGAACGCAGCGACUAGGUGGCGACGUUCGAUCCAUCGCGAGAAGGAGAGGGAACCCCGUUCUCCGGCGACUCCAAUGCGAGUUCCUGCCCGUCAUCGAUAGCAAGGAGGACCAAUGGCGAAGCGAUGACAGAAGGUAGCGAGAGGGAAGCUCGCAGGUGCGUUGUCCGCUAUUCCGGAUGUCGUCACCAAUCGCGAUCGUCUCCGGAGUUCCAAGAGGCCGAAGAUAUGGAGGGAAGAGGGGAGGCAGCGAGGCUUCUUCUUCUCGUCCGACUGCGGGGUGUGAAGGGGGAAAAGAAACGGGUCCAACUGGAGCGAUGCGAGUAGCAGCAGCGACGAGUCUAGAUUUUUGGGAGGGAGGAGCACCUCUGGUGCUUCACUGGUUCGUAGAGAAGGGGAAAAAAUGAAAGCAGCAAGGACUGCUUAAGUAAUUCUCGUGCUUCUUCUGUCUCGGAUGGAAGGUGUGAGGGUGAGGAAAUCAAAAGGAGCCAUCGGCGCCUUCUGAGUGGUGGCGAGGGAAGUUCGAUCGUGGCUGUUUCUUGAUUCGGGAAAGGCAGCAGCUAUCAACACAGGGGAAGAGGCAACAUCGAAUGGGAAAGAUUGAGUGUGGGGAUGUGGAGGUGGCGGCAGCCACAUGUGUGGGUUUGAGAUUUUGAGUGGUGAAGAAAGUGUAAAUUGUUGGUUCAGGCCCUACAACUUCUGAUCAAAUAAGAAAGAAAACAAAACAACUAUUCUCCUUUUUGUUGAUGUACACGACAGGAAAGAAGAAAAAAGAAAGACAUGUGAAACUAUUUCACACACUAAGAUAGAUUACAAAAGCUCUAUAUAGAGCCAAAAAAAAAAAAAAAAAAAAAAAAAAAAAAAAAAAAAAAACCGGAAAUACUAAAAA